rnacentral:lncRNA from 1 species
GAGCAUAGGAAGAGGGAGCUAAUUACGUGAUUUUAUAAUCUUGCUACAAAGAAAGUAGGACAAUCUCAGCCUUUAAAAUGUCACUGUAACAGUUUUUUAAAAGGAUAUUUUAAACAAGCAAGUAGACAACUGGGUAAGCAUUGAGUUUGCUCAUGUUGCCGAAUGUGCGUCUUUUGCCCUAAAUGAAAUGUGCGUUCUUCUAAAUUUAGCCCUAACUAUCGCAUUUUAACAAUUGUGGCCUCACAGCGCUAUUUCUGGUGUUUUCUCCAGGGCUGUGUGCAAAUACAAGUUCAAGGCCAUUUGCUGUAGUUUUAACUCCACGCCUUCCGAGAGACCUUUGAUAAGAUUGUAUUUUUAGGAAGGCAUUUCGCAGAGCCCGGUGAUUUGCUGGAUGCUGACUCCCAUUUAUCUUUUUAAAGGACACUUUAGGAAAGUGCUGUUCCCUGAGAACAGCAGGGGAUGACCGAGUGUCAUCUUUUGGUCUUGGCUUUUGUAAAUAACAGCGAAUGAGGCCACAGUAUUAUUUCACAUUUUUUUUUUCGUCCAGACCAGAUAUGAUUUAUGGGAAACAGAUAUAGUUUGAAGGAAAUUCUUGACAGGAUUGCAGAACCUCAUACUUCCCAAGUCAUUGGGUUAAUGUUCGGGGGAACUGUUUAAAGGAACAGAGAGAGGUGAGUUGAUGGUAGCGUUAAUUGUGUAAAAAGGGCCAAACAGCUGUCUUUUUCCAGUUCCCUUGACUUGUUUUGAUGGUUUUCCUGGGCCUGGAUAAUCUCUGGGUCUAAAAUUCCAGUCAGAGAUCACAGGCUGGUUCGACCUCACAGAUGAGCUAUCCUGGGAGGCACUGUGUGCAUCCUUUAUGGUUAAAACCCUAGGAUAUGCCCCAUGAAACUGUCAGUGGUUGACCUAUUAAUGUAGAAUUAAAUUUCAUUUGGUUUAUCCUUGUAACAUAGAACAAUGCUUCACUAAGAAUUACAAGAGGCAAAAAUUAGGCCUGGAACUAAUCAUAAUUGUUGCCUUGAUGCUGCUUAUUCUUCAGAAGAGAUGAUGAGCUAGUACUUACUAAAAUGGACCCUGCCUGUGCCAGGCACUGUGUUGACUCUUCUAUUAUCAUCCCCAUUUUAGACUUAAGAAAGUGGACCUUAGGAGAAAUUGAUUAGCAGUCCAGGCCAGGAACCUGAAAAAUGGGUUUGUGGGGGAGGGGGGCUCUGUCUCUGUCUCUUCCCUGAGUAUGAAUGCAAGCUCACUGGAGUUUUUGAAACAAUUUCCUUUUCUGUGUUAAAGACUUAUCUUUGCUAAGUGCAAUUAUAACAUCACUAUGAUGCAACAACCUGAAAAUUAAAACCCUUUGUUUGGGCCCUUUCCCAUGUUGAGCAAUGUGCUUGACUCACCAGCUGAGUGGAUAUUUCUAGUUGACCUUGCUUUGGUCCAUAGAGUCAGUUCCGAGACGU